GCGGCGCCAGGCGGCCGCCCCUGCAGGAAAGACGAAGAGCCUACUUCACUGGGUUGGUAUGAGGAUUAAAUGAGAUAAUUCAUGAGAAGAGCCCAGAACCGUGCCUGGCACAUAGCCUUGUCUCUGCUGGCACCUUCAGAGGCCCCUCCAACCUGAAAGGUAAGCUAGAUUUGGGGGCAGGGCUCUCUGAUAUCCCCAGCUGGAUGAGACCUGUGCUUGCUGCUAUCUACCCUUGCUCCCUCCAGCUGCAGCAGAUGCCCCUCCCAGGCUCGGGGUGGCCUAGCGGGCAGGUGACCUCAGCUCCCUCUGGCCCAACUUGGAAGCAGCUUUUUCUCAUUUGUGAACUAUUUCUCCCCGGCUCCUUGGCGUGGCCGUGUUUGCUUGGCCUGCCCGGGUGCAGUGGCCUGGCCGCGCUCCCGCCAGGCCCCCUCCCUGCCCAGCUCAGCCCCUCCUGCCGAUGCCGAAGCUGCCGCCACCGCACGGGGAAGCCGCGAAGGCCCAGGAAUCUUGGCAGGCGUCAGGAGGCAGCGGGCGGCGGGCGGCGGGUGGCGCUCCGGAAGAGGCUGCAAAUGCGAAACAGAAGGCGGGGGACUGGCGGCUGAGAAGGCCCCGCCUGCCUCGGCCUGGGGCCUGGGGGUGCCUGGGUCUGGUGGCCCACCCAUGUCCGGUCUGGAUCAGAAGCUCAAGGCCUCUUCUGGAAAAUGAGCAAUGGCACCAGCUGAGGCCUGAGCCCCCCGACGAAGAAGGGCCGGUCCCCUGGCCACCUGCCUGAGGAUACAUUGUUGCCCUGGGUCCUGUCCACUGCUGGGCCUCUUCUGGUUCAUCUCCCCGCGCCUGGCUGUCCCUACCUCCCUGGAUGCUUUGUUGCCCCGCAAGAAGCUCCUCCCCAGGGUGGUAGUGGGAUGGCCAGCCUCAGAGAUGGGCAGAGGCUGGGGGUCUGGGAGGUAAACCUAGUUACCUUCAGGGAGGGAGGUUCAGCGCAAGCCCCCUCCAGCCCAGAGCUGAGAAGGACCCUGGAAG